UGGCUAUUUGAUUCGAGUUAACAUUAAUUGGAACUAGAUUAAGUAUAUAGUCUCCAUGAGACGAUAAUUUAUUUAUCACUUUAUCACCUGUCUACGGGUUAAUUAUGUCAAUAGUCACUGAACUUUGCAAAAGAUUUUCAAGGGGUCCCUGAACUUUAAGAAUCACCUAAAUGGUCAUUGAACUUUGCAAAAGGUUUCUCAAAAGUCACUGAACUUUAAAAAUCACCUAAAUGGUUACUGAACUUUGCAAAAGGUUUCUCAAAAGUCAUUGAACUUUAAAAAUCACCUAAAUGGUCAUUGAACUUUGCAAAAAAUUUCUCAGAAGACACUGACCUAUCCAACCCCUAAACCACCUUAGAGCCACCACUUAUGGACUACCAAAAUCCACCCUCCUGCCACCUUGGCCGCCGGACCGACAUACCACCUUGAAACCCUCGCUUCUCUCUUCGCUACCCAACCAAGCUCCGACCAUAACACCAACCGAUUUGGUCGAAAAUUCAAGCCAAAAUGGGAUGACGAAGCACAAAAAAUGGCCGGAAGUGUUAGAGUCACCACUUUUGGACCACCAAAACUCUACACUUCGAUCACCUUGGCCGCUGGACCGACAUACCACUUUGAAGCCCUCACUAGUCACUUCCCUUGAACUAUCUUGAUUAAAACCAAGCACCUGUCUCUAAGAUAGUUGAACCUAUGAUAUAAUUCAUAAGAAAAUGAGUAAGGUUUUAAUGUACAGAUAAAUGUGAGCAAAGGUUUUAGAAAUUAAAGCAAAUAUUGAUUACAACACCUGUGUUAACCAUACUUGAGAGUUUAGAAGGGUUUGUUAUGUAUAGUGAUACGUCCAAUUAAGGUUUAGGAUGUGUAUUAAUGUAGCAUGAAAAAG
rnacentral:lncRNA from 1 species